GGCAAAACAAAACACCCAUCUCUGACAGGGGCAAAGAUGAUGGGAAAGGAUAGAAAGUUGAAAAGGGUAUUGGAUGUAAGAGGGAAGGUGUGGGUUAGCUGCAGGGAUGCUGCAUUACUGCGUCUCUGAGAGCCAGCACCUAGAAACACACAAUAUGCCCUCAAGGGAUUCGGGCAAUAGGAUGGUGUUGGAGGCAGAUUUUUCGGAAGAUGCUAUGUAAGCAUCUUUUGGCCCUUUGUUAGGUAACCCAGAGGUAGCUACUCAGAGUGAUUAAGACUUUUGCUUGUAACACACAGCAGAAAUAAACACAGGAAGGAAGAGAACAAAAGGGAGCAGUGCCCUCAAACGCGAACAGAGCCCAGGUAGGCAUCGGAAAUCUCUGACCAGACCUGCUGCCCGCAUUGGUGCUGACUCACACGGGCUGCUGAGCUGACCUCGUAUUUUAUUAGCUAUCUUCAUUUUUGCUGUGUCUCUCCAGUGUCAUCAGCACUCUGGAAAAUUCAAGUUUAGUGGUGAAGAUUUGAGGGGGGGUAGCUCUCCUCCCCUCAGUCCCUACUCCCGUCAGCUGGUGUAGCACAUUUUUUCAUGCUGUAAUGCAGCCGUGGCUGUGUGGACACACGCUUGUCCCACCUUUGCUUGUCCCCAGCUUGCUCAGGUCAGGGACCUUCCCUGCCCUAGCAGACCUGCUGAUUUUAACCGAGCAUUACCCACAGAGUCGAAUGUUACUGAAGACUGUUCAGGUGCAGGAAGAGGAAGCGAGGUGAAAACUGCAGCAGAGCUAACAUGAUUAAUGGGACACCGCUCUCAGAACAGCUUGGUUUGUGAUAUUAAUAACGAGAGAAUUCAGGAGGGAACCUAACCUGUUCCAAGUUGCAGAGCCGGCAACAGCAGGAGACGCAGUUAGGAAGCUCCUGCACUUAUAUUUAACGCAGGAGGAAUCAAGUGGUCUCAGCAACAUGUGAUGCUGCACAGAGGGGGUGUAGGGGCUGAGACAUGCUUCCACCUUGCAGGCUCAUUCUGAACCUGUCUGAAUUGCAAAAAAAAGCAUGCGGUC
rnacentral:lncRNA from 1 species